CGGCACGGGUGAGUAACACGUAUCCAACCUGCCGUCUACUCUUGGACAGCCUUCUGAAAGGAGGAUUAAUACAAGAUGGCAUCAUGAGUUCACAUGUUCACAUGAUUAAAGGUAUUCCGGUAGACGAUGGGGAUGCGUUCCAUUAGAUAGUAGGCGGGGUAACGGCCCACCUAGUCUUCGAUGGAUAGGGGUUCUGAGAGGAAGGUCCCCCACAUUGGAACUGAGACACGGUCCAA
rnacentral:rRNA from 1 species